rnacentral:rRNA from 1 species
GAUUAACGCUGGCGGCGUGCCUAACACAUGCAAGUCGAACGAGGUAGCAAUACCUAGUGGCAGACGGGUGAGUAACGCGUGGUCAACCUACCGUUGAGUGGGGGAUAACUAGCCGAAAGGUUAGCUAAUACCGCAUACGUCUCCGAGGGGCAUCCCUUGGCGAUAAAAGGAGCAAUCCGCUCGAUGACGGGACCGCGUCCCAUUAGCUAGAUGGUGGGGUAACGGCCUACCAUGGCACCGAUGGGUAGCUGGUUUGAGAGAGCGACCAGCCACACUGGGACUGAGAAACGGCCCAGACUCCUACGGGAGGCAGCAGUGAGGAAUUUUCCGCAAUGGGCGCAAGCCUGACGGAGCG